GUGACGGGGAGCAGAUGAUUACAUCACGUCAGGGCGCCGUUAGCAAGCCGAUUCACAUGCUGUGGUGAAGGGAGUUAAUGUACGAAAGAGACGCAGCACAGCCAGGCCACAACCCACACUGCCAAGAGAUGCAGAUGCUGGCGAUGCAGGUCCUUCUUCAUCAAACACCCCUCCACUAAGAUGACCAUCACAGGGCUCGGAUAGUCUCCAUAAGAUGGGUACCAAGAGACGCCGUGUUGAGGCGGAAUAUCCACCCGCAUCCUCACCACCACAACGGCGCAUCUCUACAGUGUCGUCCCAGCCACCACAAGCCUUUUUUGGCCAGUCCACAAAGCAAGGAACCACAAUCCCCUCAGCUGUCUGAACCACCCAUCAUGCCCGAGGAUACCCAGCAGGAAACUGACUUGCAAGAAUUGUACACACUACACCUGCAAGCGAUUGAUCCAAACCAGCCAACCACGCCGCAGGACAUAACCCAACCACCCCAAACAUCCCACAGCCCCCAAUUGAGCCCAACACCACCCCAGCCACAAAUGGGCCCAGAGUUUUGGUCCAGUUGGGCCACACAACAGGCGCAACACUAUGCCUGUCUGAACACCCACAGCCAAUACCUUGCCAGUCUGCCCCAUCAUCUGCCUAGACUCAGUCGGAACUCAGGCAGGCAGAGUAGCAAAUUCUAUGGAGCAGAUGAGGGCAGACAACAGCCAAAUGCACGCAAACUAAGCUCAAGCUCAGGAACAACCACACCAAGCCAGACCCCAGUUACCUCCCCAGUAAGACGACCAGCAGAAUCAGGACCAAUGAACCAUCCCAAUCCUCUGCACCCAGCAAACAAAAAACAAAGAAAUGAUCAAGGCUGCAGCAACAACUACAGUAUGUUAUUUGAAAAAUACAAAUUAUCGAAUUGAUUCACUCAAAAUGCCUGAGUUUAAGGUAAUACAUUA